rnacentral:lncRNA from 1 species
UUCAAUCAAGGAGCUGUUUGGAUUUUUCAAAGGCAAACCAAAAACAGGAGCAGACAACGAAAAGAAACCAAAUAGCGGAACUGAUGAUAAGAAGCCAAAAAUGGAAGGCCAUGGAAACAAACCAAAGAUUGAAGCUGAUGAAAAGAAGUCAAAAGUGGAAAACCAUGGAAACAAACCAAAGGUUGAAGUUGAUGAAAAGAAAACCAAAAACGGAGAUGAUACGAAGGCAUCAGCCCCUCAUCACUCAGAGAAGGAAAAAGUGUCAUCUUCUUCUGCUGCUGCACUAAGCCUUCCCAAC